UUUGUCCUGGCCAAAGUGGUUAUCACAACAGAAUUGAAAUCUGUUUCUCGUAGACUGCGCAGGUUCGAAACCUGCUGACAACA